rnacentral:rRNA from 1 species
UACGAAGGGGGCUAGCGUUGCUCGGAAUCACUGGGCGUAAAGCGCACGUAGGCGGCUUAUUAAGUCAGGGGUGAAAUCCUGGAGCUCAACUCCAGAACUGCCUUUGAUACUGAUGAGCUUGAGUCCGGGAGAGGUGAGUGGAACUGCGAGUGUAGAGGUGAAAUUCGUAGAUAUUCGCAAGAACACCAGUGGCGAAGGCGGCUCACUGGCCCGGUACUGACGCUGAGGAGCGAAAGCCAGGGGAGCAAACGGG